GAUAGGAGAUUUUCCAUUCGGUUUCAUCGCCAUGGAUUGAGGUUAGAGAAGUUUUAGGGUUUGAUUUUCACUCAAGAGUGAAAAUCAGUAUAUAAAGUAGCAGGAAAAGAAUAAACGAAAACAAAAUCAUAAAGAAGAAAUUGAUGGAUCGAGAUGUAGUGGAGUAUUGAUUAUGGAGAUGUGGAUCGAUAGAAGUGAAACGAUGGAGAACAAACUGUGAAGACGGAGAGUUAGAGGCGGAGAUCCUCGUGUUCACCGUCUAGGGUUGCUUUCUUUUGUUUAAUUGUAGCGCUAGGAUAGCAAAGCUCAGUGUUAACCAAU
rnacentral:lncRNA from 1 species